AGGACGAACGCUGGCGGCGUGCUUAACACAUGCAAGUCGAGCGGAAAGGCCCUUCGGGGUACUCGAGCGGCGAACGGGUGAGUAACACGUGAGCAAUCUGCCCUUAGCUUCGGGAUAGCUCCGGGAAACCGGAAUUAAUACCGAAUACGACCCCGGCCGACAUCGGCUGUGGUGGAAAGUUUUUCGGCUAGGGAUGAGCUCGCGGCCUAUCAGCUUGUUGGUGGGGUAACGCCUACCAAGGCGACGACGGGUAG
rnacentral:rRNA from 1 species